ACAAGGAAAAAUCUAUUCUCAGGCCUUUACCAACACCACACACCGUUACGUGGCAAACCCAGUUUGGUUGCUACGUCACGGUUUUCCACUUUCCUACGGGGUUCGCACACAUAUUUCCAGUUGAGUCCCUUUCUCCCCAUCUCCCUCAUUUCCCUCUGUCCGUAACCCACCUUCAGAUCCCUUUGCCUCUGUAUCCGUCUCCCUCAUGCAAAUCAGAUCUCUUACCCUCACUUCUCUCAUUCUGUCUGUAACCCACCUCUGUCUGUCGCCCUCACUCUCAUCUCUCACCCUCAAGGCCGCAUUUCCUCUUCGCCCUUACCUCACUUCCGUAGCCCUCUUACCCUCACUUCUCUCCAUCGGGCCUCCGCCGAAUCCCUCUCUCCCGUCAAUACCAUCCUUCGAGUAAAGCCCUAACAGAUCUCAGAAAUUCCCCUCGAAAUCCACUUCGCGAUAAAAGCCCUAACACUUGCCCCCAUUUCGUUUGUAUUUUUGUUUGGAUAAAGAGAUGAGCUGUUGUAUGGAAACACUGCUUCCGUAUCACACUGCCACUACUUUUGCAUUACUCAACUCCAUGCUCUCCGCCUCUCUUCGCAGCAUCAAGUUGGAGCCCUGAAGGGAGAAUCAAGUUGUCAAUUCUUCAUAUGGGCCGAUAUACUUCAGCUAAUAGAGGAGAAAUUUAUAACAAGAGAGAAUACGUUCCGAAAUAAAGAGGAUGAUUUAUUGUUGCGUGAGUAUGAGGUGUUGAGAAAAGAAGAUAAACUGAUACAAAGAAAGAAUGAUUUGAACAUCCAAGAGGAGGAAGUUCGAAGGCGGGUCGUAGAGAAUAGAUGUGGUCAUAUAUUAUUGUGUCUAUAUUGGGUUUGUUCUAUUGUAAUAGUUUUGGUUUGUUCGGAUGAUAGAUGUAUCGACCGUUAUUAUAAUUGCAGAAUUCUCUAUGAAUAUUUUGUAAUUAUGGAAUGAUUUGCUUAUGGUAAUGGAUGUUAACUUUUUUGUA